UACGUAGGGUGCGAGCGUUAAUCGGAAUUACUGGGCGUAAAGCGUGCGUAGGCGGUCUCGCAAGUCCGCUGUGAAAGCCCCGGGCUUAACCUGGGAAUGGCAGUGGAAACUAUGAGACUUGAAUCUGGCAGAGGGGGGUGGAAUGCCACGUGUAGCAGUGAAAUGCGUAGAGAUGUGGCGGAACACCGAUGGCGAAGGCAGCCCCCUGGGCCAAGAUUGACGCUCAGGCACGAAAGCGUGGGGAGCAAACAGG
rnacentral:rRNA from 1 species